rnacentral:lncRNA from 1 species
GAGAUUUUGAUAUAAAAGAAUUUUUAAUAUGUGGAUAAGGAAAAUAUUUGAGUAAACUUUUAAAAUUGCAAUGCCUCUAUAAAGAAGAAGCCUUUUUAGUGAAUUUUUUAAAAUUUCAAAUGUGAAUCUUUUAAAUGUAAAUUUUUAAAUUUUGGAUGUAAAUUUUUUAAAUGCGAAUCUCUAAAUGUGAAUCUUUCCUAUGCGAAUUUUUUGAAUUUUAGUUGUCAAUUUCUAAAUUUUUUAAUGAAAAAUUUUAAAAUUUAAAAGUGAAUUUUUAAAAAUUUUUAUUUUGGAUGUGAAUUUUUUAAAAUUUUCAAAUGUGAUUUUUUUAAUUUUGAAUGUGAAAGUUUGAAAUUUUAUUUGUGAAUCUUUGAAAUUAUUUGUAAAUCUUUAUAAUUGCAAAACUUUGUAAUUUCUUUUGUGAAUCUUUGAAAUUAUUUAUAAAUUUUUGAAUUUUCACGUCUCUUUAAAUUCAUGCAAAUUUUUUAUUUAUUGUAAAAUUAUUUUUUGAUUCACGGGGCUUUAAUUGUGCCAUUGAAUCUUAAGCUCAUUUAGAACGCCCAAGGUUUUUAUUUAUCCUUUUCCUUUUAUUUUAUUUUAUUUUUUAUUUUUAUUUUUUUGGUCAAAGUUGGACGGUUAAAAAGGUAAAACAUAGAGAGAAUUAAAACAAAAAUUGUCAAAAUAAAAAUUGAAAUAUGGAAAGUUUGAUUCGUGAUCUUCUUUGAAAGAUUUAAAGAAAUCAAACAGCGCUUGAAUUUCGCAAUACUUGGACAUCAAUCUAAUGCAGAACGGAAAGGGCAUGCGAAGAAAUCAAGAAUUGGAUUUUAAAAGAUUCGAUUCGUUCAAUACUUCCCUACAAGCUUUAAAAUUUAAUUCAAUAUAAAGCAGCUCAGUUUGGGGAACUACAAGAAUCAACAGAGAAAACAAGUAAGAAAUACAUCAAUUCGGGGAGAUAAUUUGAACAGUAAUUAGAAGCAAUUCGCAGACAGUAAUUCCUAGCCUCAAUUAUACCAAGAAAAGAAACUAGCCUCCAAACAAAACCAAACCCAGCAAAUUAACCCAGAAGCUCAAUUAACCUAACAAACCCAGAAAUUUAAUCACCCACACUCGAACCUAACAAAAAACAGUCACAACCCACAAUAUACACAAUUAUCAGAAAAUAGCAGCAAUCAAACACAAACAACAAAAAUAAAAAAGGAAAUUUUCGAGGAUUUUAUUUUUAAGGAUUUCUGGGUUUCAUUGGUUAGAGGGUGAAAGGAAGGUUUUAUCAUUUUGGGUUUUAAAACGGCGGACAAAGUUGAGAACGGCAAGGACUGGUAGAGAUAAUGGGUUGUGACCGGCUUAUGGGUUUUUGAGUUAUGCCGAUUUGAUGUUGAUUCUUGAGGAUUUGAAAGUGGCUUGGGAGUUUAGAAAGAGCCAGGACGCUGGUGAUCGGCGGUUGCCGACGAUGACGGCGGAAACAGCGACAGCAUUCGGUUGUUUUCUAGGUUUAGGGAAGAAACUCUCGAGUGAAAAGGGGGCGUUUGGAAGCUAGAGAGAGAAG